AGAGUUUGAUCCUGGCUCAGGACGAACGCUGGCGGCGUGCCUAAUGCAUGCAAGCCGCACGCAGAGUGCUUGCACUCUGAGUGGCGCACGGCUGAGGACCACGUGGGAACAUGCCUCGGAGUGGGGGACAACAGCGCGAAAGCGGUGCUAAUCCCGCAUACGUUCGUAAGAAGAAAGCUCGUAAGAGCGCUCUGAGAGUGGCCCGCGGCCCAUCAGGUCGUAGGUGGGGUAAUGGCCUACCUAGCCGGUGACGGGUAGCUGGUCUGUGAGGACAGACAGCCAGACUGGGACUGAGACACGGCCCAGACUCCUACGGGAGGCAGCAGUGGGGAAUCUUGCGCAAUGGGCGAAAGCCUGACGCAGCGACGCCGCGUGAGUGAUGAAGGCCUUCGGGUUGUAAAGCUCUGUGGGGAGAGAAGAAUUAGUGCAGCCCAAUACGCUGCAUGAUGACGGUAUCUCCUUAGCAAGCACCGGCUAACUCUGUGCCAGCCGCCGCGGUAAUAC
rnacentral:rRNA from 1 species